rnacentral:rRNA from 1 species
GAUGAACGCUGGCGGCGUGCCUAAUACAUGCAAGUCGAGCGAACGGACGAGAAGCUUGCUUCUCUGAUGUUAGCGGCGGACGGGUGAGUAACACGUGGAUAACCUACCUAUAAGACUGGGAUAACUUCGGGAAACCGGAGCUAAUACCGGAUGAUAUUUUGAACCACAUGGUUCAAAGGUGAAAGACGGUCUUGCUGUCACUUAUAGAUGGAUCCGCGCUGCAUUAGCUAGUUGGUAAGGUAACGGCUUACCAAGGCAACGAUGCAUAGCCGACCUGAGAGGGUGAUCGGCCACACUGGAACUGAGACACGGUCCAGACUCCUACGGGAGGCAGCAGUAGGGAAUCUUCCGCAAUGGGCGAAAGCCUGACGGAGCAACGCCGCGUGAGUGAUGAAGGUCUUCGGAUCGUAAAACUCUGUUAUUAGGGAAGAACAUAUGUGUAAGUAACUGUGCACAUCUUGACGGUACCUAAUCAGAAAGCCACGGCUAACUACGUG